AGGUUUUCAAUACACCUCAGUCCGAUCAAUCCCCUUACGCUUUCAGUACCAUAAAUUCUCAAGCACUUUGCCGGACCCUAAUUCAUCAAUGAAAAUUUUAUUAUAAGUAGGCCAAAAGUCCAUAGUUAUGAACGUGAAUCUCUCAAAUCCCCCUAAUGGCGCUCUGGUUUAGUGGAGUUCAAUACAGCCCGGUGGGUAGCGCAUCCGGUGUUGGAUUCAGAUUCCAAAUUCGAUGAGUUAGAUGUUCCGGUAGCGCAUCCUGUUUUUGGAUUCGUUUCUAUGGCGAACAACGAACACCAACGCGGUGGUGUUCCAGUUAGUCGUACUUGACACGACAAUGUGGCAAUGGAAGAUUUGGGGAUUUAGGGUUCAUGAAGAAAAAAGGUGAAAUGAUGCAGAUGUAGAUGAGACCUUGUUUGGAUGAAUUGAAAAGCUUUUUCUUCGAAUGAACACUCCAAGGAUGAAGCAUGGGGAGUUGGAAAACCGAGGCAUAAGAGGGUUGCGAAUUUUAUCGGAUAUUGCUGUGAUGGGGAUGAAAGGCUGCUUGUUGCAGAGUAUAUGCCUAAUGAUACUUGGACGUCUGUUAUCUUUUGCUGAUUGAGGUAGAGGCCCGUUCAUAUUGCCACCAACAAAGUAUGUGCUAAUAAAGUAUGUUGAACAAUAUAUACAUGAGCAGUUCAAAGGUGAUCUUCUGGACUAUCUCAAUGACUUCGGAAUCAGUUUUAUUCUAUAGUUAUGCAGAUACAUGAUUCAAGGUUUGGGAGAGUAGAAAGAUGGAGCCGAAUGGGCUUAUGGUUACUCGCCAAGAGUCCAAUCGCUGGUCAAAUCUGUCUUGCAAGGUUUGGGUCUUAUCAGGAACCCUGGAAACAAGGCCAUUGCUUCAGUUUCGAAAAGGUUUAAGCUAUAGUUCAGAAACAAGAUUGCCCUGUCGGUCAACACUUGGGAGCGUCUUUUAGGCGAGCAUGAAUCGCCCAUUGAAAUAGCCUUGGUUGAUGCUCGUAGUGACCAGAUAGUGGAUACCGGGCCUAAAUCUGCUGCAAAACUGAAAAUACUGGGAUUUUGAGUUGGUGACGGUAACGAUGAUGGUAGUUGGUCAUACGAACACUUUCAAGAAAGCAUUCUGAGCGAACAGGAAGGGAAACAACGAAUGCUUCAAGGAAAUACUUGUUUGCAGCUAAACAAAGGCGUUUGUUAUGUUCGUAACAAGAUUUCUUUUACUCAUAGUGCGGAACAUACUAGAAAUGGUCUGUACAGACAUGUGAUUUGAUGAAUGGAGUGGAAGUAGCAACGACGGAAGCAUUUGUCAUGACGAAUGCUUCAACCCAUUUGACUUUUA